GACGGAAAGACCCCGUGAACCUUUACUAUAGCUUUACACUGAACGUUGAGUUCGUCUGUGUAGGAUAGGUGGGAGGCUAUGAAGCUGGCACGCUAGUGUUGGUGGAGCCAACGUUGAAAUACCACCCUUUGUUUACUUGGAGCCUAACUUCUACGGAAGGACAUUGCGUGGUGGGUAGUUUGACUGGGGUGGUCGCCUCCAAAAGAGUAACGGAGGCUUUCAAAGGUUCCCUCAGUACGCUUGGUAACCGUACGUAGAGUGCAAUAGCAUAAGGGAGCUUGACUGUGAGACCUACAAGUCGAUCAGGGUCGAAAGACGGAUAUAGUGAUCCGGUGGUUCCGCAUGGAAGGGCCAU
rnacentral:rRNA from 13 species